rnacentral:rRNA from 1 species
ACGAACGCUGGCGGCGUGCCUAAUACAUGCAAGUCGAACGGUCUUUCUAUGGAAGCUUGCUUCCACUGAGAAGAUAGUGGCGAACGGGUGAGUAACACGUGGGUAACCUGCCCAUAAGAGGGGGAUAGCAUCCGGAAACGGGUGCUAAUACCGCAUAGUUUUCUUGAUUGCAUGAUUGAGAAAGGAAAGACGGCCUUUGUGCUGUCGCUUAUGGAUGGACCCGCGGCGUAUUAGUUAGUUGGUGAGGUAACGGCUCACCAAGACGAUGAUACGUAGCCGACCUGAGAGGGUGAUCGGCCACAUUGGGACUGAGACACGGCCCAAACUCCUACGGGAGGCAGCAGUAGGGAAUCUUCCGCAAUGGACGAAAGUCUGACGGAGCAACGCCGCGUGAGUGAAGAAAAGGUUUUCGGAUCGUAAAACUCUGUUGUCAGGGAAGAACAAGUUGGAGAGUAACUGCUCCAGCCUUGACGGUAUCUGACCAGAAAGCCACGGCUAACUACGUGCCAGCAGCGGC